rnacentral:rRNA from 1 species
GGAUUCCCCUAGUAACUGCGAGUGAAGCGGGAAGAGCUCAAAUUUAAAAUCUGGCGGUCUCUGGCCGUCCGAGUUGUAAUCUAGAGAAGUGUUACCCGCGCUGGACCGUGUACAAGUCUCCUGGAAUGGAGCGUCAUAGAGGGUGAGAAUCCCGUCUCUGACACGGACUACCAGGGCUUUGUGGUACGCUCUCAAAGAGUCGAGUUGUUUGGGAAUGCAGCUCAAAAUGGGUGGUAAAUUCCAUCUAAAGCUAAAUAUUGGCGAGAGACCGAUAGCGAACAAGUACCGUGAGGGAAAGAUGAAAAGAACUUUGGAAAGAGAGUUAAACAGUACGUGAAAUUGCUGAAAGGGAAACGCUUGAAGUCAGUCGCGUUGGCCGGGGAUCAGCCUCACUUUUGUGUGGUGUACUUUCUGGUUGACGGGUCAGCAUCAAUUUUGACCGCUGGAAAAAGGCUUGGGGAAUGUGGCAGCUUCGGCUGUGUUAUAGCCCCUUGUCACAUACAGCGGUUGGGAUUGAGGAACUCAGCACGCCGCAAGGCCGGGUUUCGACCACGUUCGUGCUUAGGAUGCUGGCAUAAUGGCUUUAAGCGACCCGUCUUGAAACACGGACCAAGGAGUCUAACAUGCCUGCGAGUGUUUGGGUGGAAAACCCGAGCGCGUAAUGAAAGUGAAAGUUGAGAUCCCUGUCGUGGGGAGCAUCGACGCCCGGACCAGAACUUUUGGGACGGAUCCGCGGUAGAGCAUGUAUGUUGGGACCCGAAAGAUGGUGAACUAUGCCUGAAUAGGGUGAAGCCAGAGGAAACUCUGGUGGAGGCUCGUAGCGAUUCUGACGUGCAAAUCGAUCGUCAAAUUUGGGUAUAGGGGCGAAAGACUAAUCGA